CUGCAGCCCGAGUGGUGAUCGAUUUUAUUGAGCCUAAAGCGUCCGUAGCCGGACUAGUAAACCCUUGGGUAAAUUGGGCAGCUUAACUGUCCAAAUUCCGAGGGGACUGCUAGUCUUGGGACCGGGAGAGGUCAGAGGUACUCCAGGGGUAGGGGCUAAAUCCUGUAAUCCUUGGGGGACCACCAGUGGCGAAGGCGUCUGACUAGAACGGAUCCGACGGUAAGGGACGAAACCCUGGGGCGCGAACCGGAUUAGAGACCCGAGUAGUCC
rnacentral:rRNA from 1 species